rnacentral:lncRNA from 1 species
GCAAGCGCACGAUCGAUCCUCUCUCAAACCCUGGCUGCACCAAGCUGGUUGUUGCACCAGAUAAAUUUAGGCUCGGUGUAGUCCAGAUCAAUGAGGCUGGAAUCACCAACAAACUCUCUGAACUCUCUGAAUUCAAUUCCAUCAACAUACUGCCUCCCUCCCAUCUUCUCGUGAGGCCCCAUGAUGCAGUUGAAGUCCUCAGCAAC